AGCUAGUUGGUGAGGUAACGGCCCACCAAGGCGACGAUCGGUAGCCGGACUGAGAGGUUGAACGGCCACAUUGGGACUGAGACACGGCCCAGACUCCUACGGGAGGCAGCAGUGGGGAAUAUUGCACAAUGGGGGAAACCCUGAUGCAGCGACGCCGCGUGGAGGAAGAAGGUCUUCGGAUUGUAACUCCUGUUGUUGAGGAAGAUAAUGACGGUACUCAACAAGGAAGUGACGGCUAACUACGUGCCAGCAGCCGCGGUAAAACGUAGGUCACAAGCGUUGUCCGGAAUUACUGGGUGUAAAGGGAGCGCAGGCGGGAAGACAAGUUGGAAGUGAAAUCCAUGGGCUCAACCCAUGAACUGCUUUCAAAACUGUUUUUCUUGAGUAGUGCAGAGGUAGGCGGAAUUCCCGGUGUAGCGGUGGAAUGCGUAGAUAUCGGGAGGAACACCAGUGGCGAAGGCGGCCUACUGGGCACCAACUGACGCCGAGGCUCGAAAGUGUGGGUAGCAAACAGGAUUAGAUACCCUGGUAGUCCACACUGUAAACGAUGAUUACUAGGUGUUGGAGGAUUGACCCCUUCAGUGCCGCAGUUAACACAAUAAGUAAUCCACCUGGGGAGUACGACCGCAAGGUUGAAACUCAAGGGAAUUGACGGGGGCCCGCACAAGCAGUGGAGUAUGUGGUUUAAUUCGACGCAACGCGAAGAACCUUACCAAGUCUUGACAUCCUGCGACGCACAUAGAAAUAUGUGUUUCCUUCGGGACGCAGAGACAGGUGGUGCAUGGUUGUCGUCAGCUCGUGUCGUGAGAUGUUGGGUUAAGUCCCGCAACGAGCGCAACCCUUAUGGUCAGUUACUACGCAAGAGGACUCUGGCCAGACUGCCGUUGACAAAACGGAGGAAGGUGGGGAUGACGUCAAAUCAUCAUGCCCUUUAUGACUUGGGCUUCACACGUACUACAAUGGCGUUAAACAAAGAGAAGCAAGACCGCGAGGUGGAGCAAAACUCAGAAACAACGUCCCAGUUCGGACUGCAGGCUGCAACUCGCCUGCACGAAGACGGAAUUGCUAGUAAUCGCAGAUCAGCAUGCUGCGGUGAAUACGUUCCCGGGCCUUGUACACACCGCCCGUCACACCAUGAGAGCCGGGGGGACCCGAAGUCGGUAGUCUAACCGCAAGGAGGACGCCGCCGAAGGUAAAACUGGUGAUUGGGGUGAAGUCGUAACAAGGUAGCCGUAGGAGAACCUGCGGCUG
rnacentral:rRNA from 1 species